CUACGGGUUGCAGCAGUGGGGAAUAUUGCACAAUGGGCGCAAGCCUGAUGCAGCCAUGCCGCGUGUAUGAAGAAGGCCUUCGGGUUGUAAAGUACUUUCAGCGGGGAGGAAGGGAGUAAAGUUAAUACCUUUGCUCAUUGACGUUACCCGCAGAAGAAGCACCGGCUAACUCCGUGCCAGCAGCCGCGGUAAUACGGAGAGGUGCAAGCGUUAAUCGGAAUUACUGGGCGUAAAGCGCACGCAGGCGGUUUGUUAAGUCAGAUGUGAAAUCCCCGGGCUCAACCCGGGAACUGCAUCUGAUACUGGCAAGCUUGAGUCUCGUAGAGGGGGGUAGGAUUCCAGGUGUAGCGGUGAAAUGCGUAGAGAUCUGGAGGAAUACCGGUGGCGAAGGCGGCCCCCUGGACGAAGACUGACGCUCAGGUGCGAAAGCGUGGGGAGCAAACAGGAUUAGAUACCCCCGUAGUC
rnacentral:rRNA from 1 species